rnacentral:tRNA from 1 species
UCCCUGGUGGUCUGGUGGCUAAGACUUUGAGUUCCCAAUGCAGGGAACCAGGGUUCAAUCCCUGGUCAGGGAA